AACGCACCUUGCGCUCCUUGGUAUUCUGAGGAGCAUGCCUGUUUGAGUGUCAUUAAUAUAUCAACCUCUACAACUUUUGUUGAGUUGUUGGAUGUGGGGGGCUUUGCUGGCUUCUUUCUCUGAGGUCAGCUCCCCUGAAAUACAUUAGCGGAAUGAUCCCCGUUCAUUGGUGUGAUAACUAUCUACGCUAUUGACGUGAAGUAGUUUGGCUUAUAACAGUCCAUUGACUUGGACAAUUUUCAUUAAUGUGACCUCAAAUCAGGUAGGACUACCCGCUGAACUUAA
rnacentral:misc_RNA from 1 species